AUAAUUUAUUGUCCCUAAUAAUUGUAAAAUUUUACUCUAUAAGAAUAAUCUCUUCCCCCUAAUAAUUACUUAAUUCUAUUCUAUAAAAAUAACCCAAUUUGACCCAAUAUGUAGACUUUUGCUGUAUCUGAUAGCUUUCAUUCUAUUCUAGGAAGAAAAAUCUUUCACUUCUAGCUCAGUACUAAUUAGGCAACUAAGCUUAGUUCACUUACAAUAUUCAUUGCAUCUUGGGGAGUAAAUGUGGUUGGUUGCUAGGGAAGAAUUAGAACUUACUUUUUUUUUAUCUUUGUGAGCAAACAACUUAUAUAUGGAUUGCAGGGAGGGUGUGAUGGGGUUAGCAGUGGAGUGUUUUUGAAGGAUUGGCAGAGCACUAUCCUGAUGCUUUUUUUGUGAUAUGGAGGUACUAAAUCUUCAAAGGCUUUACUUGUGGAACAGAAGUUCUUACAGGUUCCAUCAAGCUCUAGACUUCAAAAAUAGACAUAAAUGAAUGUGUUGGAGAACCAGUCUAAAGAAGUCUUGAGAAGUUAAUCACCACAAGGUUGUCUGCACUGACUGGUCUUGGAUUAGCUGUUUUACAUGUUUGCAGCUCGUUGUGUCCAAUAUGUGGGUGUUGGCAUUUUGACUAGUGAUCUCAUUUUAUAUAUAAAUUUGGCUAUCUUGGUUGACCAGAGGCUUCCAAUGCAACUAUCCCAGAAGGCAAGCAUCAAUGUAUGUGUGUGUCUAUGUGUGUGUUCCCAUGUCUGUCAGCCAAAAUUGUACCCCAAACUAACACUGGCCAGACAUUGUUGGUAUUGGCUAGCUUGGCUGGCCAAACCCUAAAGAGAGAUUCAUUUCUAAUGUC